UACGUAGGGUGCAAGCGUUAAUCGGAAUUACUGGGCGUAAAGCGUACGCAGGCGGCUAUGUAAGACAGGUGUGAAAUCCCCGGGCCUAACCUGGGAACUGCAUUUGUGACUGCAUAGCUAGAGUCCGUCAGAGGGGGGUGGAAUUCCACGUGUAGCAGUGAAAUGCGUAGAGAUGUGGAGGAACACCGAUGGCGAAGGCAGCCCCCUGGGAUGAGACUGACGCUCAUGCACGAAAGCGUGGGGAGCAAACAGG
rnacentral:rRNA from 1 species